GUUGUAUGGUUAAGUGACUAAGCGUACACGGUGGAUGCCUGGGCAGUCAGAGGCGAUGAAGGACGUACUAACUUGCGAUAAGCGCAGAUAAGGCAGUAAGAGCCGUUUGAGUCUGCGAUUUCCGAAUGGGGAAACCCAACUGCAUAAGCAGUUACUGUUAACUGAAUACAUAGGUUAACAGAGCAAACCGGGGGAACUGAAACAUCUAAGUACCCCGAGGAGAAGAAAUCAACCGAGAUUCCGGUAGUAGCGGCGAGCGAACCUGGAUUAGCCCUUAAGCACUCGGUGAAGUAGGUGAACAAGCUGGAAAGCUUGGCGAUACAGGGUGAUAGCCCCGUAACCGACGCUUCAUCGAGCGUGAAAUCGAGUAGGGCGGGACACGUGAUAUCCUGUCUGAAUAUGGGGGGACCAUCCUCCAAGGCUAAAUACUCCUGACUGACCGAUAGUGAACCAGUACCGUGAGGGAAAGGCGAAAAGAACCCCUGUGAGGGGAGUGAAAUAGAACCUGAAACCGUGUACGUACAAGCAGUAGGAGCAGGCUUUGUCCUGUGACUGCGUACCUUUUGUAUAAUGGGUCAGCGACUUAUAUUCAGUGGCAAGGUUAACCGUAUAGGGGAGCCGUAGCGAAAGCGAGUCUUAACUGGGCGUUCAGUCUCUGGAUAUAGACCCGAAACCGGGUGAUCUAGCCAUGGGCAGGUUGAAGGUUGAGUAACAUCAACUGGAGGACCGAACCGACUAAUGUUGAAAAAUUAGCGGAUGACUUGUGGCUAGGGGUGAAAGGCCAAUCAAACUCGGAGAUAGCUGGUUCUCCCCGAAAGCUAUUUAGGUAGCGCCUCGGACGAAUACUACUGGGGGUAGAGCACUGUUAAGGCUAGGGGGUCAUCCCGACUUACCAACCCUUUGCAAACUCCGAAUACCAGUAAGUACUAUCCGGGAGACACACGGCGGGUGCUAACGUCCGUCGUGGAGAGGGAAACAACCCAGACCGCCAGCUAAGGUCCCAAAGUAUUGCUAAGUGGGAAACGAUGUGGGAAGGCUCAGACAGCUAGGAUGUUGGCUUAGAAGCAGCCAUCAUUUAAAGAAAGCGUAAUAGCUCACUAGUCGAGUCGGCCUGCGCGGAAGAUGUAACGGGGCUAAGCAAUACACCGAAGCUGCGGCAAUGUCUUUUAGACAUUGGGUAGGGGAGCGUUCUGUAAGCCGUUGAAGGUGAAUCGUAAGGUUUGCUGGAGGUAUCAGAAGUGCGAAUGCUGACAUGAGUAACGACAAAGGGGGUGAAAAACCUCCUCGCCGGAAGACCAAGGGUUCCUGUCCAACGUUAAUCGGGGCAGGGUGAGUCGACCCCUAAGGUGAGGCCGAAAGGCGUAAUCGAUGGGAAACGGGUUAAUAUUCCCGUACUUCUGACUAUUGCGAUGGGGGGACGGAGAAGGCUAGGUGGGCCAGGCGACGGUUGUCCUGGUUCAAGUGCGUAGGCUUGAGAGUUAGGUAAAUCCGGCUCUCUUUAAGGCUGAGACACGACGUCGAGCUGCUACGGCAGUGAAGUCAUUGAUGCCAUGCUUCCAGGAAAAGCCUCUAAGCUUCAGAUAGUCAGGAAUCGUACCCCAAACCGACACAGGUGGUCGGGUAGAGAAUACCAAGGCGCUUGAGAGAACUCGGGUGAAGGAACUAGGCAAAAUGGUACCGUAACUUCGGGAGAAGGUACGCUCUUGAUGGUGAAGUCCCUCGCGGAUGGAGCUGACGAGAGUCGCAGAUACCAGGUGGCUGCAACUGUUUAUUAAAAACACAGCACUGUGCAAAAUCGCAAGAUGACGUAUACGGUGUGACGCCUGCCCGGUGCCGGAAGGUUAAUUGAUGGGGUUAGCGCAAGCGAAGCUCUUGAUCGAAGCCCCGGUAAACGGCGGCCGUAACUAUAACGGUCCUAAGGUAGCGAAAUUCCUUGUCGGGUAAGUUCCGACCUGCACGAAUGGCGUAAUGAUGGCCACGCUGUCUCCACCCGAGACUCAGUGAAAUUGAAAUCGCUGUGAAGAUGCAGUGUACCCGCGGCUAGACGGAAAGACCCCGUGAACCUUUACUACAGCUUGGCACUGAACAUUGAACCUACAUGUGUAGGAUAGGUGGGAGGCUAUGAAGACGUGACGCCAGUUGCGUUGGAGCCGUCCUUGAAAUACCACCCUUGUAUGUUUGAUGUUCUAACUUAGACCCAUUAUCUGGGUUGAGGACAGUGCCUGGUGGGUAGUUUGACUGGGGCGGUCUCCUCCCAAAGAGUAACGGAGGAGCACGAAGGUGGGCUAAUCACGGUUGGACAUCGUGAGGUUAGUGCAAUGGCAUAAGCCCGCUUAACUGCGAGAAUGACGGUUCGAGCAGGUGCGAAAGCAGGUCAUAGUGAUCCGGUGGUUCUGUAUGGAAGGGCCAUCGCUCAACGGAUAAAAGGUACUCCGGGGAUAACAGGCUGAUACCGCCCAAGAGUUCAUAUCGACGGCGGUGUUUGGCACCUCGAUGUCGGCUCAUCACAUCCUGGGGCUGAAGUCGGUCCCAAGGGUAUGGCUGUUCGCCAUUUAAAGUGGUACGCGAGCUGGGUUUAGAACGUCGUGAGACAGUUCGGUCCCUAUCUGCCGUGGGCGUUGGAAGAUUGAAGGGGGCUGCUCCUAGUACGAGAGGACCGGAGUGGACGAACCUCUGGUGUUCGGGUUGUGUCGCCAGACGCAUUGCCCGGUAGCUAAGUUCGGAAUUGAUAAGCGCUGAAAGCAUCUAAGCGCGAAGCGAGCCCUGAGAUGAGUCUUCCCUGAUACUUUAAGUAUCCUAAAGGGUUGUUCGAGACUAGAACGUUGAUAGGCAGGGUGUGUAAGCGUUGUGAGGCGUUGAGCUAACCUGUACUAAUUGCCCGUGAGGCUUAACCAUACAACACCCAAGGGGUUUUGUA
rnacentral:rRNA from 1 species